rnacentral:rRNA from 1 species
UCGAGGAUCUUCGGCAAUGGGCGCAAGCCUGACCGAGCGACGCCGCGUGUGCGAUGAAGGCCUUCGGGUUGUAAAGCACUGUCGAGGGGGAUAAAACCCGCAAGGGUUGAUAGAUCCCUGGAGGUAGCACGGGCUAAGUUCGUGCCAGCAGCCGCGGUAAGACGAACCGUGCGAACGUUGUUCGGAAUCACUGGGCUUAAAGGGCGCGUAGGCGGUUUGCCAAGUCAGGGGUGAAAUCCUGCAGCUCAACUGUAGAAGUGCCUUUGAUACUGGCGAACUCGAGGGAGGUAGGGGUGGGUGGAACUUCUGGUGGAGCGGUGAAAUGCGUUGAUAUCAGAAGGAACGCCGGUGGCGAAAGCGACCCACUGGACCUUUUCUAACGCUGAGGCGCGAAAGCUAGGGGAGCAAACGG